rnacentral:lncRNA from 1 species
AGAGUCUGAUUUUCACUCCACAGUUCCAUCCAAGGAUGUCAAAGCACUUUGCCUGAGUGAAUUUAUCUGCUCAACAACCCUUGGCUCUGGGUAAAUCCUUACCAGGAGAGCUCCUCUGCGCUUGGCAGCAGCAGAUCAGAAGAUUGCUUUUAGUUCCUGGGGUGGAAAGUCCUGUGGGCCGAGAUUUCUCUGCAGCCCACUCCCGCCACUGCUCGGAGCCGCUGCGAUCGCCCUGUGAAUAAUGGAACGUUUUCAUGUUUUAAUCAGAUGCAAUUUUCCAAAUGGUUUUUAUGAUUUAGCAAGUCCAUUAAAAAUGACAUUUGU